AAAGAAAACAAAAAAAAAACAGAGAGAGAGAAAAGGGAGAUGCCUUUACUAUAUUAACUACUAAACUGCUAAAGUAGGAGAUAUCUUAUCUAACGUAGUGGGAAAAGUCAUAGAUCCAGCCAUUUUGUGCAAGAAAUUGGGUAUUUGUUUUAGUACAACAGCAAGAUCUCUUGAUAAUGAAUCUGAUGUGGCCAGCAAUUCAGGUUGAAAGAGGUUGUUUCUAUGGUUGGUGUUCAAAUUUGAAGUUGUCUUACUUGCUGCGCAGCCAGAGAUCUAAGAGAAUUGCACUGGAUGUGCUUGAUGAACUUCCAAGGGAAGUGAAUGAGGAGUUUGAAUCAAGAAAAUUGAAGGAGGAAGAUGUCAUGGCAGAUCUGAGAGAUGAGAGUGCUACUAUUUGGUAUGGGUGGAGUUGGAAAAACAAUAUUUGUUGAUUUCGGAUAAAGGGUUGAAAAAAGAGAGGCCGUUCCGGAAGGAUGCCCUUAAACAAUUAGAAAGAUCGAAUCGAAGAAUAUCUUUCAAAGUGCUUAUUUGGUUUAGGAGCUGUUGAAUGCGUUGUUCCACCAGCUCCGGAAAAACAGCGUGCACCACAUCUUGAUAAUGAAUAUGAUGUGGCCAGCAAUUCAGGUUGAAAGAGGUUGUUUCUACGGUUGGUGUCCAAAUUUGAAGUUGCCUUACUUGCUGGGCAGCCGGAGAUCUUAAGAGAAUUGUACUGAAUGUGCUUGAUGAACUUUAAAGUGAAGUGGAUGAGGAGUUUGAAUCAAGAAAAUUGAAGGAGGAAGAGGUUAUGACAGAUCUGAGAGAUGAGAAUGCUACUAUUAUUGAGAUAUUUGGUAUGGAUGAAGUUGGAAAGACAAUACUUGUUGAGAAAACCAGAUAAAUGGUUAAAAAAGAGAGGUUGUUGUAGCAAAUGUCAGUCAACAACCAGAUUUAAAAAUUCAGGAUGAGAUCGGAUGAGGAUUUUGGUUGACAUUUGCUUAUUUGGUUUAGGAGCUUUUGAAUGCAUUGUUCCACUAGCUUUGGAAAAACAGCAGACACGUGUACUAAAAAAGCAUGCAGAGUUAGCUACCAUUGGUGCUUGUAUUUUUCAACAUUGAGAAUUUCUUGAUGAAUUUGAAGUUAGCUACCAUUGGCGCUUGUCUUUUUCAACAUCGAGUAUUUCUUGAUGAAUUUGAGAAAGACUUCCAAUGGCAUUUGGAUCCGUAUCUCCCUUUGCUUUGCCAAAUAGAAAAACGGCUUCUAUUUAUAGACGUUGAAAACCCUUUCUCUUUCUUAUUAUAUUAUCUGUAAUUCUAUCCUGAGCAAAAAGAUUUGAGGUGAUGAAGUCAGGUACCUAUUUUUGCUUUGUUCCUUGUUUGAGUGAGUUGGUAGUAUUUGACCUGAAAAUUUACUUAGUAGCUGAGUGGGGCUUAGUAUUUUUUCAAAUUAAAAAGUUAGACGAAGCAAGAAAGAGGAUGUGUCAUCAGUUAGAGUGUAACAUUGAAAGAUUGUUUCUUGUUAUCCGAGGGUUAUUUCAAAAUGUAUGAUAACGUCCAUGACAUGGAAAUGUCAAUUGUGUUCGAGGGCAAGUAUGUCUUUAUGGUAAAUCAGGACGUGAACCUAGAAGAGUUCCCAAGAAGAACUUCUUGUGAACAGUAGUCACAUUUCAGGUGUUGCAACACAAUUUGAUGAGCUUCCUAAACCAAUAUUUUGUCCAAGACAUGAGUAUCUAAUGUUGAAACUCUUGGAAGAUCCACUCAAAUUGCAGGAUGAUUGUUUUUUGUUUGAAUAAGUAAACUCAAUGUCUUAAGCAUGAGGGGUCCAAAUAGAGUAACUCCAUUAUGUCUUUUACAACAUUGGUUCGAUUGUUGUCAAAUGUGAGGAUACUAACUCUGAACAUUUAAGGUUUGGAUGACAUAUCCAUUAUCGGCGAACUAUCAAUUUAGAAACUCUCAACAUUAAAGAUUAUGUUAUAGAGGAGUUAGGAAAAUUGACCAAUCGAAUUAUAUUAGAGUUGAGCUGAGGGACGAUCUAAAAUAGUCUCUCUACCUUCACAACACAGGGUAAGAUUGCAUACACGCCACCCUCUCCAGACCCCAAUUAUGGAUACACUGGGUAUAUUGUUGUAAUUAUGUUAAGAGUUUUGGAAUGAGGAAGCAACACUUGAAUGGAUUUCACAAGGUGUCUUAUCAAAAGUAGUUUCACUAGAGGAACUACAUAUUGUGAAAGUAGCACAUUCAAAAGUUACUUUGCCUUUAGUGAGCUGAAAUCCUAAUCGUAAUUGAUUGAUAUUCAUGUAAAUUCACUUGUGAUAGUCUACAAUAUCUUGUGAUAGUCUACAAUAUCUAUUUUGCUUGUCUUUGGCAGGGAGUAGUUUGUCGAAUCUUGAAGACUUGACAGUAGCUUGCUCUGAUGAUGAAGAAGAUGAGAUGUUGGAAUACACAUAUCAAAGCAGAAGGGAAGAUGGUCCGAGUAAUCAAGUUCACCAAUUUAUACGAAUUGGAAAUUGAAUCUCUGAGAUACCUCACUCACUUUGCAAUGACGCUAUUGAGGGCGUUGAGUUCCCUCAGUUCAAAAAUUUUUGGUCUACAACUAGCGAUAGAAUGUUAAAAGGAUGAGAUAUGGUUCAUUUUUACUACUUGUAAUGGAAGAUAUAUUGAGUAAUGUAGGGCAUCAAACUUUUGAAGGUUAUUGUCCCAGUCUGAAACAGCUAAUUUUCGAUUGGCUACUUCAGCAAAAUUGAAAUAUUGGAAGUGAUCGAGUGUGGCGUACUGAGAAACGUGAUGUCUCCAUCAGUGGCAAGAUAUGUUUUGAAUCUCCAAGCAUUGCAGAUAGGAAACUGUCCAUUAAUGGAAGAAAUGAUCACAGAAGAGUAACUAGGAGAAGAAAUGACUAACGUGUCCUUAUUUCCCCAAUUGGAAGAGCUGGAGGUGAGCAAGCUACCAAAACCUAAUGUGUUUCUUUCUGAUGAAGCACUCUCUAGAAUUUCCAUUUCUUAGCUGUUUUGAAAUGAAGGCGUUUGUCCUAGGAUCUGUGAGUACACCGAAUUUGAAAUGGCUGAUUGUAGAAAAAAAGUCAAAGAUGCCGAGGCAAAAGAUGAUCUCAAUAAAUCAAUUUUAAGGUU